ACCCAUUUUCUUUUAAGUUGUUCAGUUACAAUUCAUCUUUAUUUUAAUAAUAAAAACAUAGGUGUUAGUAUUAUCAUUAUCUUUUAACUGCAUAUUGGGCAGAUUUGUUUUUGUAUUCAGUUUAUAUACUUUAGUGUGCAUGCUGAGCUACAAGACCUAAUGCAAGCUUUAGUUAGUUUUAAAUAGUUUUAAUAUCCUCCAAGAAAUCAAUAGUUUUAAUAUUUAUUUAUGGCUGCAAAACUAUUAAAAGAUGUUAUAGCAAUAUACAAGUUCUUGAGGAUCCACAUAUUGGUUCAGUUUGGCUGUUUGAUUUAUCAUAAAAAAGUAGAGGUACACACAAAUCUACGAGUACCAUAAAAGUCACUUUUGCCAGUAGUAUGAAAUGAACCCACUACGAAGUGUGCGCUUACUUUACUUACCUUUCUAAAUUUUGUUGGUGAGCAGUUAUGUUAACCAACUUACUGGGAGUGCAUAAUCUGCAGUGGAGAACGUUAUCCGCCGCGCGAUAAAUUAAUUUUAUAAAUAACAUAUGUGAGAGUUAGAGCCUAGAUCACACACUUAGAGACAAGUUAAUUUGCUUUACAUUGCUGGUUGUGGCUUUAUUAGUUUUGAAUAGUUCCAAUAUAAUAUCACUUUUGGGUCUUGAUUUUGAUUUUAAACGGUUCAAAGAUAAUAUCACUUUUGGCGACUUUUUAUCCGUAUGACCAACUUCACCCGUUUAAGUGGAAUAUUUGAAAUCCUUUGCAUAUUUCAGGUCAAACGACAUGUGAUGGCCCGUAUGAGGUUCAACUAACUAUACCAGUGGAGGGUUAUGAGUUGGAUAUACUCAUGUUCUCUUGGUGAUGGUAAACGGGAGUGGAUAGUUUGUUGGCGUUGCUGAAAUGAUGGGCUUGAUUUCUUAUACAGCCAUGUAACACAAGCCACCACCACAAUCUUGCACCUUAAUUCUCAUUAAGGCAUUUCCUAUAAUCGAGAUUCAAGAAACGAAGCAAUGCUCAGCAACAAAAUUGAAAUGGAGCUGCUGAUUUAGUAGAAAUUGAUGUGCAGGCAGAGGCACAUGUAAAUUAUACUUGAUAGUGAAUCUCCGCACAUAAGAAUUGUGUAUGAAUUUAUUCUCUAAAGCUAUCUAUCUACGUGAAUCUGAGGUUGUAUCUCGGUGAUUUGUAUCUACCAAAGCAUGUCGACAUCAAAUUCGGAGGACGGUACAUGUAACCGAAUUCGGAGGACGGUAAAUGCAAAGACUCUCCCUUUAAAUAACUAAACUUGCUCGGACACCGAAACCCUAGGCAUGUGCGAUCCAAAUGGGGAAGGAAGGAUCAACGAUUGUCGGUGAGUUCUAAUCAUUCGUAAACUUCCGUUAUUGUUAUCUGAAUCUGUAAUUUGUUGCUUUUCGAUCUGAUUAUACUGUUUAUUUGUGUUGUUUGAAGUUUUAGGGUUUUGAAUUUGUUCAUGUUUGUUAGGUUAGUGAACUCUAGGGUUAUUACAUUUGUUAGAUUGUUCAGAAUAUUUUGCUGUGCAGUAAUGCGGUUAAAGAUCGGAUACCGGUCAAGGACCGAUAUUUGAGGUAUACGUUAUCGUGGUGGGAUAUUGGUACUUUUAGUAUCAUACAGAAUUUAUAUAUAUACUUGAAACGCCGUCUCAAGGUCUUGACGCAUUUUUCUGAGCACCUUGCGUGUCUUUUUAAAACCGAAGAGGGUUCAUUUGGAACAAUUUGAGGGUGCCUUUUUGUUGUUAUCUGUGUUUUUUUGGCAAUCAGAGGUUUGUGGUAUAGUAAAGAUCUACACUUGGAUCAACAUUUUAAAGAGCAAACAGAACAAAUUCCCUAUUAUGAUUUAAUAACAUAGCAUUUCCAUUUGCAUGGGUUGAAUAUUUUAAUUACCUUUGGCAUGAUUGUGCAGACUUGCAUAUGAAUAAUUGUUAUAAACUGUUGUGUGUUUUUCAUCUGCUAAUGAUGUUUAGCUUGAGAAAAUUAAUUCAAUAUAGUUCCAAGGAGCUUUAGAUUACUAGAAGAGCUUGAAAGAGGAGAAAAAGGAAUCGGUGAUGGAACCGUAAGCUACGGGAUGGACGAUGCUGAUGACGUGUACAUGCAAUCAUGGACCGGGACU